rnacentral:tRNA from 1 species
GGAUUGUGGCUCAGUGGUAGAGCACUUGCCUAAUAAGUGUUGAGGCACUGGGUUCAAUUCUCAGCACCA